rnacentral:tRNA from 1 species
GCCGAAGUGGUGGAAUUUGGUAGACACGCAGUGUUGAGGGCGCUGUGGGGAACUCCCGUGCCGGUUCGAUUCCGGCCUUCGGCACCA